GAUGAACGCUGGCGGCGUGCCUAAUACAUGCAAGUCGAGCGAACGGACGAGAAGCUUGCUUCUCUGAUGUUAGCGGCGGACGGGUGAGUAACACGUGGAUAACCUACCUAUAAGACUGGGAUAACUUCGGGAAACCGUAGCUAAUACCGGAUAAUAUUUUGAACCGCAUGGUUCAAAAGUGAAAGACGGUCUUGCUGUCACUUAUAGAUGGAUCCGCGCUGCAUUAGCUAGUUGGUAAGGUAACGGCUUACCAAGGCAACGAUGCAUAGCCGACCUGAGAGGGUGUUCGCCCACACGGAAACUGAGACACGGCCCGAACCCCAAGGGGGGGCAGGAGGAGGAAAUCUUCCGCAAGGGGCAAAAGCCUAGCGGGGAAACGCGGGGGAGGUGAGAAAGUGCUUGGGUUGGUAAACCUUUUUUUUUGGGGAAAAACAAAUGUGUAAGAAACGGUGCACCUUUUGCCGGUCCCAAAGAAAAAAGCCAGGGCUAACUCCGU
rnacentral:rRNA from 1 species